AGUGAACGCUGGCGGUAGGCCUAACACAUGCAAGUCGAACGGCAGCACAGUAAGAGCUUGCUCUUACGGGUGGCGAGUGGCAGACGGGUGAGGAAUACAUCGGAAUCUACUUUUUCGUGGGGGAUAACGUAGGGAAACUUACGCUAAUACCGCAUACGACCUACGGGUGAAAGCAGGGGAUCUUCGGACCUUGCGCGAUUGAAUGAGCCGAUGUCGGAUUAGCUAGUUGGCGGGGUAAAGGCCCACCAAGGCGACGAUCCGUAGCUGGUCUGAGAGGAUGAUCAGCCACACUGGAACUGGAAAACGGGCCAAGCUCCUACGGGAGGGCGCAGGGGGGAAUAUUGGACAAUGGGCGCAAGCCUGAUCCAGCCAUACCGCGUGGGUGAAGAAGGCCUUCGGGUUGUAAAGCCCUUUUGUUGGGAAAGAAAAGCAGCAGGUUAAUACCCCGCUGUUCUGACGGUACCCAAAGAAUAAGCACCGGCUAACUUCGUG
rnacentral:rRNA from 1 species